CACGAACCGUGCUAACGUUGUUCGGAAUUAUUGGGCUUAAAGGGCGCGUAGGCGGCAAGUUAAGUCAGUGGUGAAAUCCUGCGGCUCAACCGCAGAAUUGCCCCUGAUACUGGCUUGCUUGAGUGAGGUAGGGGUGCGUGGAACUUCCGGUGGAGCGGUGAAAUGCGUUGAUAUCGGAAGGAACGCCAGUGGCGAAAGCGAUGCACUGGACCUCAACUGACGCUGAGGCGCGAAAGCUAGGGGAGCGAACGGG
rnacentral:rRNA from 1 species